rnacentral:rRNA from 1 species
AUUGAACUCUGGCGGCAUGCCUUACACAUGCAAGUCGAACGGCAGCGCGGACUUCGGUCUGGCGGCGAGUGGCGAAAGGGUGAGUAAUACAUCGGAACGUACCCUGUUGAGGGGGAUAACUAGUCGAAAGAUUAGAUAAUACCGCAUACGACCUGAGGUUAAAAGGGGGGGACCGCAAGGCCUCACGCAGCAGGAGCGGCCGAUGUCUGAUUAGUUAGUUGGUGGGGUAGAGGCCCACCAAGGCGACGAUCAGUAGCUGGUCUGAGAGGAGGAUCAGCCACGCUGGGACUGAGACACGGCCCAGACUCCUACGGGAGGCAGCAGUGGGAAAUUUUGGACAAUGGGGGCAACCCUGAUCCAGCAAUGCGGCGUGUGUGAAGAAGGCCUUCGGGUUGUAAAGCACUUUGGUCCGGGAAGAAAUCGCGCUGGUUAAUACCUGGCGUGGAUGACGGUACCGUAAGAAUAAGCACCGGCUAACUACGUGCCAGCAGCCGCCGUAA